AAGGUUGCAAAAUGGCGAGGGGGGAGGUAAGCUGUCUUUGCUUGGCCAUCUUGGGCUAGCAGGCCUUGCAGAGAACUACCUUUUUAGCUGAGUGAAGGGAUCAACCUGAGUUGGAGUUCUCCUAUGCUGUGGCCAGAUCCACUAGAAAUUAACCCAGAAUCUUAGCCUCUCAGUGGCCUAUCGAUAAGCCAGCUAAGACAUGUUUUAAAGUAGAAGAUUAUAAGACCUCCCCCAGGGUCCUGCAGUCAGUCAGUUAUACCCUGCCCUUCAACAUCAAGCUUUGAACCUCUACUCUAGAAAUACCUUUUAUUAUAUUCAAACUUGAAGCACGUGGACAUAGCAUGCUUUGGUGCCUUCGUCCUUGCCCCCCUCCUUCCUACACAGUUCUUUGCAAUGAGAAUAUGGGAAAUAAGGACUUAAUGUGAGAUAAGGCAGAAAGGUGAUGCCACACUCAAUCAGAAACUAUGCUACUGCUGAAGAGGUAUAUUGAGCCCUGCCUGGUUAACCUCCAGUGAGGUUAUUAGAGAAUUGGGAGAGGCUCAAAUCAGCAUCCUGCACCUAGUUAUCAAACCAUUGUGAAGUCUUGAUUCCUGGAUGGCCAGAAAACUUGUCAUUGGUCAAGAGCAACAUUAAGAUCUGCCUGUUACUCAUACUGAUGCUUCCUGCCCAGCAAGUUCAUCAGAGGGCGAGGAUGAAUUACGGUUGCCAUGAAUGUCCUUGUGAGGCAGUUGGGAAGCCUUGGCUGGAUUGUGAAGGAUAUUUGAAAAGUAUUUUAGAGUCCACCAGAUCAUCCAUGUGAGUGACCAUGCAGCAAAAGAAGGAGGGUCCUCUCAGUGAUUAAGGUAACAUAGUGAUUAAGGUAAGUAGGGAAAGAGAGGCUUACUUUGCCCUGAUUCUUGUCAGGGAGGCUCUUAGAGAUGCCAUUUCCAGAGCAUAAGUGACAGGCCAGCAUUUUCAAAGCUUGCAACUUAUUCUAUAAUAUAUCCUUCUUAAAACAAUUCAUGUAGAUUAUAUGCUCACCCAGUCUGGGAUCACUCCUGCAGAAGAUCAGAAGAACUGAAAUAUAGGUGACAUAAGCUCCUGCUUUUGUAAAUGUUUUGUUGAAACACAGUUGUGUUCAUCCAUUAUUGUCGAUGGCAGCUUUCAUGCUACAGCAGAGUUGAGUAGUUGGGAGAGAAACCAAAUGGACCAUAGAGUUUGAAAUAUUACUGUCUGGCCCUUCACAGAAAGUUUGCCAAUUCCUGGCAUAGGUUAAAUAAAUGUACUAUAUCCACAAAUCCUCCUCUCCCCAUUUUCCUUUCAAUGGGACUUGCAUUUACAGUUGAUCCUAGAAUGUAUGGAAUCUCAUAGUAAUCAGCUUGCUUCUGAAUUUCUUCCCACUCAAAUUAAGCUCACUCAGAAAGCACAUUCACAAAUUGGGCUACAUAUACAGAAGGAGCUAUGUUUUAUAUGCCUCACUGUAGUCAACUCAUUUAUCCUAUAUGUAUGGUUCCCCCAUUUUUUCCUUCUUUUCAGGGGUAACUUUUAAACUUGAGCCAUUCAUGAGUAUCCAAAAA
ensembl:lncRNA FTX FTX transcript, XIST regulator